rnacentral:lncRNA from 7 species
GUCCUUCUCAUAUCUAACUUACUCUCCAUGUAUGUGGCUCUCUAUUGAAUCUAUCUAUACCUGAUCCCAAACUAGCUGGCCAACAUGGCGAACGAUGACCCUGUGGACGACGAAAACCCCAGAUCCAACACCACUAAUAACAGCAUCAAUGACAAGUUGGCUGAAGUGUUCGACAUGGUCUCAGUCCACAAACAUCAGUAUAAAAUGCCGACGUUCGCCUUCCACACCAACAAGACGAUCACCGAAGCUUUACAUCGGCCUCUACUGCGAGCACAAGCUAGCAUGGUCACAACCUCCUAGCCUAUAUAUGAACUGGUGUUAUCCCGACUGAACUUUUCUUUUUGUUGACACCUUUCGUCAGGCCUCUCCACCAGAGGUUGACUCGUAUGUCUGUUUUCUGGUUUCUCAUACCAGAAUUAACGUUCUUGACCUUGUAAGGCCUCUUCUUGACCUUGUAAGGCUCUCACUCUGUGUCUGCAUCCUUCUCGCAUCCCUUGUUUCCUUCUUUCCCACUACAUGCAGGAUCAGUCCCGAUAUUGCCGUGUUUGCCAGCCUUCUGCAUCCACCUACUUUCUGUUCCCUUCUAUCCCUCCUGAGCUAAUUGUUGCUCCUAUGUAAUCCGUGUUUAUUAUUUCGGUACCAUGAUGAUGAAAUUAGUUUUAAUUUAUU